GGGGGCGUAGCUCAAUCGGUUAGAGUGCCGGCCUGUCACGCCGGAGGUUACGGGUUCGAUUCCCGCCGCCCUCGCCA
rnacentral:tRNA from 4 species